GUGAGAAUAUAGGGAAAGCACAAUCUUCCUUUGAGAAUUGAGGACUGUCCUUAUCUUGUGUCUAAUAUCCACUGUAAGUCGUUAGUCAUAUUUUGCUUUUCGUUAUCUGUUUUUCUUCACUAUCGUUACUUACAGAUCAGGAAUUUAUAAGGAAUUUCAACUUCCUGGUUUCAGCUACUCUGAUCCUAUUGGAAACCUGUAUCUUAACCACUUCCCCUGGGACCACUUUUUCAUUCUUUUUGCUUUUUUGUUUUGUAUGUCUUUGUUACUUUUCUUUUCGGGUAAAGGUUGCGUAGUUUAGGGAAAGUGGAAGAGUGUGGGGGUGGAAAGGAGGUGGUGAAGGGCCCUGUUCAUGACUGAUAAGUCUUCCAUCUUUGUUUUUCUUCCCCCACUAGCUCUUCUAUCAGAAACUAGUCUUCCUUUGCUGUUCCUCAAGCCCCGACUCUUUCCCCUGGUUUUCACUUAUUCUUAGAGAACCCCUCCAGAGACCCCCUUCCCUUCUCCCCCCCGCCGGCCCAGUUAUGGCAGAGAACGAUGUGGACAAUGAGCUCUUGGACUAUGAAGAUGACGAGGUGGAGACAGCAGCUGGGGGAGAUGGAGCCGAGGCCCCUGCCAAAAAGGAUGUCAAGGGCUCCUAUGUCUCCAUCCACAGCUCUGGCUUUCGGGACUUCCUGCUCAAGCCAGAGUUGCUCCGGGCCAUUGUUGACUGUGGUUUUGAGCAUCCCUCAGAAGUCCAGCAUGAGUGCAUCCCUCAGGCCAUUCUGGGAAUGGAUGUCCUGUGCCAGGCCAAGUCAGGCAUGGGAAAGACAGCAGUGUUUGUGCUGGCCACAUUGCAACAGCUGGAGCCAGUUACUGGGCAGGUGUCUGUGCUGGUGAUGUGUCACACUAGAGAGUUGGCUUUUCAGAUCAGCAAGGAAUAUGAGCGCUUCUCUAAAUACAUGCCCAAUGUCAAGGUCGCUGUGUUUUUUGGUGGUCUGUCUAUCAAGAAGGAUGAAGAGGUGCUGAAGAAGAACUGCCCGCAUAUUGUCGUGGGGACUCCUGGCCGAAUCCUAGCCCUGGCUCGAAAUAAGAGCCUUAACCUCAAACACAUUAAACACUUUAUUUUGGAUGAAUGUGAUAAGAUGCUCGAACAGCUCGACAUGCGUCGGGAUGUGCAGGAAAUUUUUCGCAUGACCCCCCAUGAGAAGCAGGUCAUGAUGUUCAGUGCUACCUUGAGCAAAGAGAUCCGUCCAGUCUGCCGCAAGUUCAUGCAAGAUCCAAUGGAGAUCUUCGUGGAUGAUGAGACGAAGUUGACGCUGCAUGGGUUGCAGCAGUACUACGUGAAACUGAAGGACAACGAGAAGAACCGGAAGCUUUUUGACCUUCUGGAUGUCCUUGAGUUCAACCAGGUGGUGAUCUUUGUGAAGUCCGUGCAGCGGUGCAUCGCUCUGGCCCAGCUCCUGGUGGAGCAGAACUUCCCAGCCAUUGCCAUCCACCGUGGGAUGCCCCAGGAGGAGAGCAGUUUAAAGAUUUCCAACGACGAAUUCUUGUGGCUACCAACCUAUUUGGCCGAGGCAUGGACAUCGAGCGGGUGAACAUUGCCUUUAACUACGACAUGCCCGAGGAUUCUGACACCUACCUGCAUCGGGUGGCCAGAGCAGGCCGGUUUGGCACCAAGGGCUUGGCCAUCACAUUUGUCUCAGAUGAGAAUGAUGCCAAGAUCCUCAAUGAUGUGCAGGA